rnacentral:lncRNA from 1 species
CUACAUCAGUUACUAACAAUGGUUGCUAAUUUUUGCUGAUGAAUGCAUACCUUAGGAUGAGAAUUGCAAGAUUUUCGUAUGAAAUGUUCUUAUAAAUUGAGGAUGUGCCUAUCGUUACUAUUUGCUUGUGUACAGUGUAAACAAUUUCAUACUGGAAAUGUCAUUUGUAUCAUAUUUGUGUUACUUACCACUUUAGUAG